rnacentral:rRNA from 1 species
AUUGAACGCUGGCGGCAUGCCUUACACAUGCAAGUCGAACGGCAGCACGGGGGCAACCCUGGUGGCGAGUGGCGAACGGGUGAGUAAUACAUCGGAACGUGUCCUUUUGUGGGGGAUAACCAGUCAAAAGACUGGCUAAUACCGCCUGAGAUCUCACGAUGAAAGCGAGGGACCGCAAGGCCUCGCGCGAUUCGAGCGGCCGAUGUCGGAUUAGCUAGUUGGGGGGGUAAAAGCCCACCAAGGCGACGAUCUGUAGCUGGUUUGGGAGAACGACCAGCCACACUGGGACUGAGCCACGGCCCAGACUCCUACGGGAGGCAGCAGUGGGGAAUUUUGGACAAUGGGCGCAAGCCUGAUCCAGCCAUGCCGCGUGUGUGAAGAAGGCCUUCGGGUUGUAAAGCACUUUCGGCCGGAACGAAAUCGCGCGGGUUAAUAGUCCGCGUGGAUGACGGUACCGGAAGAAGAAGCACCGGCUAACUACGUGCCAGCAGCCGCCGUAA